rnacentral:rRNA from 1 species
AUUGAACGCUGGCGGCAGGCCUAACACAUGCAAGUCGAACGAGUGGCGGACGGGUGAGUAAUGUCUGGGAAACUGCCUGAUGGAGGGGGAUAACUACUGGAAACGGUAGCUAAUACCGCAUACCAUCAGAUGUGCCCAGCUGGGAUUAGCUAGUAGGUGGGGUAAGGGCUCACCUAGGCGACGAUCCCUAGCUGGUCUGAGAGGAUGACCAGCCACACUGGAACUGAGACAAGUUCCAGACUCCUACGGGAGGCAGCAGUGGGGAAUAUUGCACAAGGGGCGCAAGCCUGAUGCAGCCAUGCCGCGUGUAUGAAGAAGGCCUUCGGGUUGUAAAGCACUUGCAGCGGGGAGGCGUUACUCGCAGAAGAAGCACCGGCUAACUCCGUGCCAGCAGCCGCGGUAAUUC